rnacentral:rRNA from 1 species
AUUGAACGCUGGCGGCAGGCCUAACACAUGCAAGUCGAACGAGAGGCGGACGGGUGAGUAAUGUCUGGGAAACUGCGCGAUGGAGGGGGAUAACUACUGGAAACGGUCGCUAAUACCGCAUACCAUCGGAUGUGCCCAGAUGGGAUUAGCUAGUGGGUGGGGUAACGGCUCACCUAGGCGACGAUCCCUAGCUGGUCUGAGAGGAUGACAGGCCACACUGGAACUGAGAAACGGUCCAGACUCCUACGGGAGGCAGCAGUGGGGAAUAUUGCACAAUGGGCGCAAGCCUGAUGCAGCCAUGCCGCGUGUAUGAAGAAGGCCUUCGGGUGGUAAAGUACUUUAAGCGAGGAGGCGGUACUCUCAGAAGAAGCACCGGCUAACUCCGUGCCAGCAGCCGCGGUAAUUC